rnacentral:misc_RNA from 1 species
AGCAAAAGGGCUUGACAUUCGCUUAGGUCACAGGGUUACAGAAAUUGUUAGACGUUAUAAUGGUGUGAAGGUAACAGUUGAGGAUGGGAGUACUUUUGUAGCCGAUGCUGCCAUUAUUGCUGUUCCUCUUGGUGUUCUGAAAUCAAAUUGUAUCAAGUUUGAACCUAGAUUACCUGAGUGGAAAGAGGCUGCCAUUAAAGAACUUGGUGUAGGAAUUGAGAACAAGAUUAUUCUGCACUUUCAAGACGUGUUCUGGCCAAAUGUUGAGUUCUUGGGAGUAGUUGCAGAAAGCUCAUAUGAGUGCAGUUACUUUCUUAAUCUUCACAAAGCCACUGGCCAUUCUGUCCUUGUUUAUAUGCCUGCUGGGCAACUGGCCCGUGACAUUGGAGAACUGUCUGAUGAAGCUGCUGCUAAUUUUGCAUUUACUCAACUUAAGAGGAUUCUUCCCAAUGCAACUGCUCCUAUU